GGGGGCGUAACGGCUUCGACGGGAGCGGUCAGCGUCCGAUGAGACGAGCCGAGUUUGCUGGAGACUCGUAAAACGCCGGCACCAACGAUACACGCCGAAGAUAACUUCGCGCUAGCUGCUUAAAUAAAAGCGGCUCAUCGGUCCGGGAUGCCCACGUCCCGGUUCCCGGUGUCAUCUUAGUGGGCUCACCUCCAGGGUCCUGGCCCGGGGCUCUGGGGGGACACUCAACGGGCUAGCCCCUCCGUGGCGCCCCGGUCUGCGGAGGUAGGCGAAAAGAAACCGGGAGCGACGCUCGUACAAUCUCACGGACGACGCGCUCGCGGACGCGGGUUCGAAUCCCGCCGCCUCCACUA
rnacentral:tmRNA from 1 species